GCAGCUUUAGCUCACUUGGGAGAGCGCCAGACUGAAGUCUCACUUCGGUUUCUCGAUCUACUUUCGUAGCAUCAGCCCUGUGCGGUAUCUGGAGGUACUGUGUUCGAUCCACAGAAGCUGCA